rnacentral:rRNA from 1 species
UACGUAGGUCCCGAGCGUUGUCCGGAUUUAUUGGGCGUAAAGCGAGCGCAGGUGGUUUAUUAAGUCUGGUGUAAAAGGCAGUGGCUCAACCAUUGUAUGCAUUGGAAACUGGUAGACUUGAGUGCAAGAGAGGAGAGUGGAAUUCCAUGUGUAGCGGUGAAAUGCGUAGAUGUAUGGAGGAACACCGGUGGCGAAAGCGGCUCUCUGGCCUGUAACUGACACUGAGGCUCGAAAGCGUGGGGAGCAAACAGG